GCAAAACUAAAUAGUGCAUGUAGG
rnacentral:siRNA from 1 species